rnacentral:rRNA from 1 species
UACGAAGGGUGCAAGCGUUACUCGGAAUCAUUGGGCGUAAAGCGCUGGUAGGCGGGUUUGUAAGUCGAUUGUGAAAUCCCUGGGCUCAACCCGGGAAUUGCAGUUGAUACUGCAGAUCUUGAGUUCUAGAGAGGAUGGCGGAAUUCCAGGUGUAGAAGUGAAAUUCGUAGAUAUCUGGAGGAACACCGGAGGCGAAAGCGGCUAUCUGGCUAGACACUGACGCUGAGCAGCGAAAGCGUGGGGAGCAAACAGG